GAUGAAGAACGCAGCGAAAUGCGAUAAGUAGUGUGAAUUGCAGAAUUCAGUGAAUCAUCGAAUCUUUGAACGCACAUUGCGCCCCCUGGUAUUCCGGGGGGCAUGCCUGUCCGAGCGUCAUUGCUGCCCUCAAGCACGGCUUGUGUGUUGGGCCUCCGUCCUCCUCCCGGGGGACGGGCCCGAAAGGCAGCGGCGGCACCGCGUCCGGUCCUCGAGCGUAUGGGGCUUCGUCACCCGCUCUUGUAGGCCCGGUCGGCGCUUGCCGACACAUCAAUCUUUUUUCCAGGUUGACCUCGGAUCAGGUAGGGAUACCCGCUGAACUUAAGCAUAUCAAUAAGCGGAGGA
rnacentral:misc_RNA from 1 species